CGCCGUGAGGGACCGGACACGGGGCGGGGACCGUGAGGGGGACGCCGUGAGGGACCGGACACGGGGCAGGGACCGUGAGGGGGACACCGUGAGGGACCCGACACGGGGCAGGGACCGUGAGGGGGACGCCGUGAGGGACCCGACACGGGGCAGGGACCGUGAGGGGGACGCCGUGAGGGACCCGACACGGGGCAGGGGGACACGGGGGCCUGGGGAAUACGGACAGCGGGAAUGGGGGCUCUGUGGGUGACAGGCCUGAGUGGUGGUGGGACCCCAGAGCAUGGGGACCCAAAGGAUGGGGUCACUAGGGAGUGGAGAGCUGAUGUGGGGACCCAGAGGUUGCACCUGAGUGGGGAAUGGGGCUUGGGGGACAUCAGUGACAGGGCGGUGGGGGUCCAGGCAACAAAACAAGGGUGGUGGGGACCUGUGGAGAGAGGGGGUGGGUGACACGCCUAUCCCUCGCAGCCCCCCAAAUCACCAGAUAUAUGGGGGUCUUGAGGGAAGGCAGGUCAGGUGUUGGGCAAAGAUUCCCAACAGAGGCUUCCAUUCCCCUGAUGUGGUUAAGCUGUUUGUUCGGUGAGAUGAAGGGGGAAGAGAGAGAAGCAGGAAGGGACAGAGCCUUAUCCAGGGAGGGACCUGGCGGCUCAGCCUGCAGAAAAGGAGGCUCAGGGGGGACCUUACUGCUCUCCACAAGGUCUGACAGGAGGGUGCAGCUGGCUGGGUCAGGCUCUGCUCCCAGGGAACCAGCCACACGACAAGAGGACACAGCCUCAAGCUAUGGGAUGUUUAGUUUGGACAUUCCUUCCAUUAGAAGGAAUUUCUUCAAAGAAAGGGAUUGAAGGUGGUGGUGGGGUCACUGUCCCUGGAGGUGUUUAAGAAAAGACUGGUCAUGGCACUCAGUGGUGUUCAGUCAGAGGCUGAAGUUAAUAUCUCAGAGGUCUUUUCCAGCCUAAGUGAUUGUGUGAUCAAUUAAAGCCCUAUGUCCCCCUCAGCACGCAGCAGGGAGUGGUGUUUCUCUUUGGUUAGCAGCAAGGACUGCCUCCACUGAACUUGGCAGGGUUUUUCACUGCUGUCUGAGAUGACUCGGUGAGGCAAAGGCAGAGCUCUUCUCAGUCACGGUGCUUCUGCAGUUCUCUGCUGCUGCAGCCCAGCCCACUGGCAAGGAUGGCAGAUCAACUUUAAUUUGGAACAGUUUCAUCUCUGAAGCACCUUAUUAAUACCACAGAAACAUUAAACAGAAGUUUGCACUACAAAAGUGGAAGUAAGUUAAAAUCUGAAAAUGUGACCUCUGUCUUCAAGCCUGUCUUAGCUCAUAAAUCUGUAAUCAAGGCCUAAGGUUGUUACAUUUAUGCCAAACAGCCCCAAAACACAGGAUGAGCAGGAUACUUUCCUGAACUUGGAGACUGGAGGCACCAUCUGUGCUCACAUGUAGUUUUUACUGUACCUUAUUUCUUAACUUUGAAUACUUCAUUUUGAAAAUUUGCUUUGUGUUUUAUCUUUUAAAAGAGCUGUGAUUAUACUGGCAGCAGCACUGACAUGGUUAUCGUGAAUCCCACAGUUACAGAAAGGACUGCAAAACACAGAUCACUCAGAUCAGACGACCUAAAGAGUGGGAAAUAAACAUAAAAAGCUCACUUACCAUGACAGUUCUGGAAUUGCACCAGGGAUGACCUUGUCUCUGUGGGCUCUCCCAGCUCACAAAUCCUAAAGCAUCACCUGCACCAGAGCGAUGCCCAGCAUUGCUGCCCUUGCAUUGGAACAGAGAGCCCCUCAGCUGAGCCCAAGCUCUUUUCCUCUCCAUCCACUGGUGGUUUAAGCAGACAUUUGAUUUUUCUGUUCCGAGUUUGCCUGUAACUAUUCAUAGCAGCUAAUUCCCCACACCCUCGGGACUCUGAUGUCAGCACCAGCCAAACCCGAGCUCAGCAUGGUGAGCUGCCUCAGGGGCUGCCACCACCACAGCACAGCUCACACACACCCAAGAGGAGGAAGUCCAUCUCACUUUUUCAAUUAAAGAAAUCUCUUUAUCUCGUAAGAUUUGUAAAAUGGUAUUUGUUUUUUGAGGCUGCCGAGUACUUUGUGCAGUAUUCAUAAAAGCGCUUACUGGCCAUCCUCCUGUCAGUGUCACGUGCAAAAGUUUUCUGCACUUUUGCAAUUAACACCAGUCCAUAAUACACAUCACAAAGAAAGCCACUGAACAGGCAACAAAUGGCAGCUCAGCUUUGCUAGUGAUCUCAGCAGAGGCUACAGUGGUCAUGGCCACUGAACCUUUCCACACACCAGUAUUUGCUUCCAGUGUAUUUAAUGAUUCAUCACCCUAGAAACCUCCAUUUGGUUGGGUACAUGAGGCAUUUCUUAUUUCCCUUCAAAGCUCCAUUCCCUUGCUUACCAUAUAGCUCUACUUUACACCUCUCACAUUUAAGUUAAUUUUUCUGAAAAUUUUUACACCCAGCUGUAGAAAUACUCCAGAGAAGUUUACACUCCUUGUAAGAUGGCACCAAUGUUUCCUUCAAAUUGUUAAAAACUUCUCACCUUCCAGGACUGCAUUAUGUUUUCUACCCCAAUUAUAUUCCAAUGUUUUAUCACAUUCAUCUUUCACCUGGUAAGUGCACUCAGGUUUUUUCCCACCUCUGCUACUUCCAGUUCACAAAGCCCCAGGUUACAGGUGAGGUUAUUACUGAACCCAGAGCAUCUGGUUUGUACAGUAUGAGACUUAUUUAUAUGACAUCACCAGCAAGCUGGUAAAAAAGUUAGCCUCAUCCUUUUUGAACAUCCACUCAGUCUUCCUCAACAUUGGCAAUGCCUCCCAAUUUGUCUUACCCAGGAAUUUCACCUCACCACACUGGUAAAUAUAUUAAAUAGACCAGGUCCCAGCUGCCUCAGCAAGUAUUUACUGUCAAUACUGCACACACUUCCUGGUGACAUUAUCAGCUGAAUUGGAACUCCCCUCUAAGAAAGACUCACUUAAUAUGAAGAGGAAGUUUCUUUUUUCUGCUUUAUUUAAGGAUGGUGAAUGCUGAUGCAAGAUCUGGUGAUGAAUGUCAGCUUUCUUGUACCAUGAAACAUAUUAUUGUCAUUGUUCUCCUGCUUCAUUUGGUCUAAAAACAGCUUCCUAUUACUAUUAUGCUACACCAGGUCAGGCUAUUUUUAUGGACAAAUAUACAGGAAAAAAGCAUGUGUUUAUAUUUUUAAUUCCUGGUUGCAGCAGUAAGUAAAACAUACAGUGAAUAUCAGGAUCAAAUCAUAGCAUCUGUCUGUUAGGAUUUGUUGGUAUAGAGCUGUCACCCACACGGCUCUUUGUCUGGUAUUAAACAAGACAAGUGCAACAGAGAAACAUGAGAAGUGUUAAUAAUGCUGCAAGUCAGCUGCAAAGAACUUCCAAAGCUAGGCCUAGGAUGCAAAAUUUUCAUCAAUUAAAUUGAAAGCUGUAUUUUUAACAAUAAAUUUUUAAAAAUUCUUAUUUGAGUUAAAAAAAGCCAAACUUUACAUAUCUUCAUUUCCAUAUCUUCCUUUUCCCUAUCUUCUUUUCUUCCUUUCCAAGUAAAUACUGCUUUCUUAUUAUAUCAGAUAUGGCACAAAAACCACUGCUCUUGGUUUGGCUGUGAACCUUGCUCUGUUUUUCAGAGAUGUUAUUGAACUAAACAACACAAGUUAUGAUUUUGCCAGGGGCUUUUAUGAAAGUUAACCCUGAUUAGAGGAAUAUCCUCCCAUGUCUAGGUAGGAACAUAGAGAGUCUCUGACUUGGUUAAAAGUGCAAUGCACAGACCUAAGAUCAGCUCUGUCCUUCAGACAAAUGAUUCAACCUCCACACAUGAGGUCUGUGUGUCAUAUAAAGAGCAGAAAGAGAAGCCUGAGGGGAAAAAGGAAGUUUCCCAAGAAAAGAAGAUUUUCAGUUGGUGUACAAAGCUGCCUCUGCAGUGGCCCUGCCUGGGCUGUGUUUAACACCAGCCCAGGGGCUCAGGGCAGGCACUUCACCCCAGCUUCCCAAAAAAUCACUGAAGGGUGUCCAGCUCCUCCAGAGGCGCUUCAGAGCAGAAGCCAUAUGUGUGGACUCUGAAUUACUUUCUGAAAUAACAUCCUCUGUGUUUAAUCUUUCAAUAGUCCAGGAAACAUUGCCUUCCUCAUUUAGGCACCUGUGUUAGGCACAGGUUAGGCCAUCAGAAUUGCCUUACACAUCUUUUCCCCUGAGCCUCUGCACCCCAUCUCUGAUACCAUGACAAAUUUGGCUGAAGCUGAAGUAGCAGAUUUUAUCAGAGCAGUAACUGGUUCAACCACACUCUUCCUGCUCUGACACUUCUGGGUGUUUGCAUGCCUAAACAGCACCUCAGGCUUUGAUCCCCUCUCGAGAGCACGCGCUCUUAAAUGUGACUAUUUUUGGUUCCGUGUCUGUGACCAUCUCCUCCAAGAUGAAAGAGCAUGGGAUGACGAUGCCUACGUAUGCUUGUGGAUUGCUUUCAUCCUGCUUUGUGAAAAUCCUUUUACAGGAAGAGUACACUGCAUUUUUACGGACACGCAGUGACUGUUAGCCUCCUGUAUUUCACCUGAAUGUCAGUUUAUUUACUUGUAAUUUGUCACACUUUGAUAAAAUCAUUUCCCAUUUCUGAGAAGACAGCACACCGAUUAAUAAAAA